rnacentral:rRNA from 1 species
UGGGGAAUAUUGGGCAAUGGGCGCAAGCCUGACCCAGCAACGCCGCGUGAGGGAAGAAGGUUUUCGGAUUGUAAACCUCUGUCCUUGGUGACGAAAAAAAUGACGGUAGCCAAGGAGGAAGCCCCGGCUAACUACGUGCCAGCAGCCGCGGUAAUACGUAGGGGGCGAGCGUUGUCCGGAAUUACUGGGCGUAAAGGGUGCGUAGGCGGCGCUUUAAGUUGGAUGUGAAAUGCCCGGGCUUAACCUGGGACCUGCAUUCAAAACUGGAGUGCUGGAGUGCAGAAGAGGAAAGCGGAAUUCCUAGUGUAGCGGUGAAAUGCGUAGAUAUUAGGAGGAACACCAGUGGCGAAGGCGGCUUUCUGGUCUGUAACUGACGCUGAAGCACGAAAGCGUGGGGAGCAAACA